rnacentral:snRNA from 1 species
UCAGCUCUCUUUGCCUUUUGGCUUAGAUCAAGUGUAGUGUCUGUUCUUUUCAGUUUAAUCUCUGAAACGUCUCCAAGCGAGACCUUCUUGAUUACUCUUAUUUUUGGUUUCACUGGCGGGGUGUUCCUCUGUGCUUGCGCAUGGGUUCUCCUGCCUACUGUGUCCCUGGUAUUACACUGUUUCCGGGUGAUGCGAUUGUUU